rnacentral:siRNA from 1 species
ACAACAGGCCGGUUGAAUAGUUAC